rnacentral:rRNA from 1 species
AAGGAAUAAAGUCGGGUAUGCAUACCCGUUUGCAUGUACUUUAUGAAUAAGGAUCGGCUAACUCCGUGCCAGCAGCCGCGGUAAUACGGAGGAUCCGAGCGUUAUCCGGAUUUAUUGGGUUUAAAGGGAGCGUAGAUGGAUGUUUAAGUCAGUUGUGAAAGUUUGCGGCUCAACCGUAAAAUUGCAGUUGAUACUGGAUGUCUUGAGUGCAGUUGAGGCAGGCGGAAUUCGUGGUGUAGCGGUGAAAUGCUUAGAUAUCACGAAGAACUCCGAUUGCGAAGGCAGCCUGCUAAGCUGCAACUGACAUUGAGGCUCGAAAGUGUGGGUAUCAAACAGGAUUAGAUACCCUGGUAGUCCACACGGUAAACGAUGAAUACUCGCUGUUUGCGAUAUACGGCAAGCGGCCAAGCGAAAGCGUUAAGUAUUCCACCUGGGGAGUACGCCGGCAACGGUGAAACUCAAAGGAAUUGACGGGGGCCCGCACAAGCGGAGGAACAUGUGGUUUAAUUCGAUGAUACGCGAGGAACCUUACCCGGGCUUAAAUUGCACUCGAAUGAUCCGGAAACGGUUCAGCUAGCAAUAGCGAGUGUGAAGGUGCUGCAUGGUUGUCGUCAGCUCGUGCCGUGAGGUGUCGGCUUAAGUGCCAUAACGAGCGCAACCCUUGUUGUCAGUUACUAACAGGUGAUGCUGAGGACUCUGACAAGACUGCCAUCGUAAGAUGUGAGGAAGGUGGGGAUGACGUCAAAUCAGCACGGCCCUUACGUCCGGGGCUACACACGUGUUACAAUGGGGGGUACAGAGGGCCGCUACCACGCGAGUGGAUGCCAAUCCCUAAAACCCCUCUCAGUUCGGACUGGAGUCUGCAACCCGACUCCACGAAGCUGGAUUCGCUAGUAAUCGCGCAUCAGCCACGGCGCGGUGAAUACGUUCCCGGGCCUUGUACACACCGCCCGUCAAGCCAUGGGAGCCGGGGGUACCUGAAGUGCGUAACCGCGAGGAUCGCCCUAGGGUAAAACUGGUGACUGGGGCUAAGUCUAACCAAGGUAA